AAACUCGAACCCCUCCCCCCCACCAUGUGAUGGAAGCAGCUAUUUCACCACAGAAUGUUGUCUUCUCAUCACACGUCCAAUUCACGUGUACUGGGCACCAAUUGUAUGACAGGUGCUGGGCAGGCUCGGAGGAUACAGGACAGACAGGGCCAACGGAAUCCGUGUCCAUCCCGAGUUUAGGUCACCACACAGCUGGUGUGUCAGGAUUCAGAAGGCCCCCCAACGCCCCCCAGCCUCGAGACCCUGGGCAAACCAGUUAGUGUCGUCGUCUGAACUGGAGAUGAUAGAGUGCUCACAGAGUCACUCUGGAAUAAUGAGGAUCCACACAGGGCCUGUGCUUGGUGGGCUAAGUCAAUCGUGUCGCUCUCCUUGCCCAUGACUGGCUGAGGCUCAGGUCUGGGCGCCAUCCUGGCCAGUGCAUUGUGAAGGCAGAUUUGCGAGGCACCGCUAGGAGGGGGUUUCCCAACUCUAAAACAGGAGGGGGCUCUGCAUUUUCAUUCUGCACUGGACCCUACAAAUGAAGUAGCUGUUCAUGUACACAUCACUUUGAUCAUUUGUGCAGUGUCCACACACCACCGCUUUUUCUCCAGCAUUGAAGUGUACCAUAAAUAAUUAGGAAUGGAACGAAGAACUGACUCCCUGGAACGUCCUGCCUACGCUUCUCCGCCUGCCUCGUGCUUCAGCCCGUGGGACGGCAGAGCAGAUCAAAGCAUCGGUCCAUUUUACGGUCGGGACCAGUGAGGCUCAGCGAGCGAGAAUCCCAGCCAAACCUGCAAAUAACGUUCCUGCAUAAACAUGAAAUACAGGUCGCUGUGUUGAGCGGCGUUUUCCCAGCGCCACUUCUUCUGGGAUCCUGAGGACCUGGUGGGCCGUCGGGGGUCCUUCCAGAGGUCCGCAGAGGGCACGGGCUCCCUCCGCCACGUGGUGCGGGCUCGGGAGGGAGGGCGGGCUGAGCGCAGGGCGGGGCCCCAUCAGAGGUGGAACCAGCACCGCAGCGUCUCUGUGCGGUACCGUCAGGAAAACCCACGUGAGAGAAAUAAACAUCUGUUUCAAAAUAAACUGCAGCAGCAAGAAGAGAAGCGUUCCUCGAAACCUCACUACCGCUUGGAAUUCGUGCUGAACUUUUUAUAGCUCUGAGAACAAUCCGAUGCCCCAAGAGAAAAGCAUACUAGGUUUUACAGUUUGUUUGUUUACACCACGGAAACCGCUCAAGACCUCUCGUUAAUUUCCUCAUGACGUUUUGUAAUUGCCAAAGCAGGUUGCUUGAAGUGAACCGAAGCCUAAAGGGUUAUAAUAUGUUUUUCUUAUUCAAUAAUAAGGAUCGAAAUAUAUUUUGUAAUUAAAUCUAUUAAAAGCUUAUUAAAUUUGCUUUACAGUUAAGGAAGUCUUUGGGUUUUUGUUUGUUUUUGUUUUUGUUUGAGGAAGACUGGCCCUGAGCUAACAUCCGUGCCCAUCUUCCUCUACUUUAUAUGUG